rnacentral:rRNA from 1 species
UACAGAGGCCUCGAGCGUUAGGCGGAAUCACUGGGCUUAAAGCGUGUGUAGGCGGAUCGUUAAGUACCUUGUGAAAUCCCACGGCUCAACCGUGGAACGGCUGGGUAUACUGGCGAUCUUGAGCCACCUAGGGGCGAGCGGAACAAGCGGUGGAGCGGUGAAAUGCGUAGAUAUCGCUUGGAACGCCAACGGUGAAAACAGCUCGCUGGGGGUGUGCUGACGCUGAGACACGAAAGCCAGGGGAGCGAACGGG